AUUAAGUCAGGUGACUUUACAGUGGCUGACACGUGGGCCGUCACAUCCGCAUCCCCACCCUCUCUUCUCUGUCUUCCUCUUCCAGGGUCGGCCGGCUGGACCCUCGCCGUGGCCUCCUCCGUCGCGGCCUCGAUCGAAACCGAAAAAGAUCGGCCAGUACCAACAAAGUGGAAGGACAAGGCCGUCGUCACUGUCGUGUUUUGCGGCUCGUCGUUGUUCACGGAUUCGAGGUCUCAUGCUUCGAUUUGGUUUCUGACAUGAGGAACCGAAGAACCGAGAUUGCUGCAUGUGUCUGAACAUUUCAAGUGGAUUGGUAAAUAUGGAGCUGUAUUGGCAUCUUCACCAGCAAACAAUGGGAGAAACUACGCGACCUACUAAAUGCACGCCAACAUACAGCUGAAAACAGAUUCCAUUCUUCCUGUGGCGCUAGUGCUUGCCUGGCAAUCAGGAGCUGCAGACAGAUUGUGGAUCAUACACAUGCUUAAUCUGCACAAAGUUCUGCUUCAAGUACAUCAUCAGGCAUUACUGCAAGAACUACUCAGCUGGUUUGAAGAAACGGAUGCCUACAUUACAGGAUUUUCGGCGAUGCGCUUUCAGUGAGAGGAGACGUUCCCGUCGACGACGAGGCGCCUACGGUGACUUCGUAAAUCUCAAGAUGAUAUGCCGGCUCAGUCUCUCAGAGGUGCUCAUAGGGGUAGGGUGUGCGUGUGUGCGUUCAUAGGGAUGAGUAUAUGCACGUGUAUAUGAGCGCUUGUGUUUGUACUGAUGCUAAAAAAACAACCAAAGGUCGGUACCAGACGUGGCAAAUCGUGUCCGUGGGUAGGGAAAUUGAUGAGGUGUGCAGUGAUCCAGGACCCUGCCUUUUAUUAAUUUUUAUUUAUAAUGUUACUUCA